rnacentral:lncRNA from 1 species
CCACGCAGUCCAAGCGGCUAAGCCCAGUAUUCUGUGAGGAACUAGCAACACUGAAUCACAUAAUAUGGGACUGCGAGGAGGACAAGCCCCCUCCUAACCUCAUGUCCUUUUCCUCACCUGAAGCAUGGGAGGAGGCGCUGCUCAG